ACGAUGGGUGGCGAGUGGCGGACGGGUGAGGAAUACAUCGGGACCUACCUAGACGUGGGGGAUAACGGAGGGAAACUUACGCUAAUACCGCAUACGUCCUACGGGAGAAAGCGGGGGAUCUUCGGACCUCGCGCGGUUAGACGGACCGAUGUUCGAUUAGCUAGUUGGUGGGGUAACGGCUUACCAAGGCGACGAUCGAUAGCUGGUCUGAGAGGAUGAUCAGCCACACUGGGACUGAGACACGGCCCAGACUCCUACGGGAGGCAGCAGUGGGGAAUAUUGGACAAUGGGCGCAAGCCUGAUCCAGCAAUGCCGCGUGUGUGAAGAAGGCCUUCGGGUUGUAAAGCACUUUUAUCAGGAGCGAAAUACCAUCGGCUAAUACCCGGUGGGGCUGACGGUACCUGAGGAAUAAGCACCGGCUAACUUCGUGCCAGCAGCCGCGGUAAUACGAAGGGUGCAAGCGUUAAUCGGAAUUACUGGGCGUAAAGCGUGCGUAGGCGGUGAGUUAAGUCUGCUGUGAAGUCCCCGGGCUCAACCUGGGAAUGGCAGUGGAUACUGGCUCGCUAGAGUGUGAUAGAGGAUGGUGGAAUUCCCGGUGUAGCGGUGAAAUGCGUAGAGAUCGGGAGGAACAUCAGUGGCGAAGGCGGCCAUCUGGAUUCAACACUGACGCUGAGGCACGAAAGCGUGGGGAGCAA
rnacentral:rRNA from 1 species